AACGAACGCUGGCGGCAUGCCUAACACAUGCAAGUCGAACGAGACCUUCGGGUCUAGUGGCGCACGGGUGCGUAACGCGUGGGAAUCUGCCCUUGGGUUCGGAAUAACAGUUGGAAACGACUGCUAAUACCGGAUGAUGACGUAAGUCCAAAGAUUUAUCGCCCAAGGAUGAGCCCGCGUAGGAUUAGCUAGUUGGUGAGGUAAAGGCUCACCAAGGCGACGAUCCUUAGCUGGUCUGAGAGGAUGAUCAGCCACACUGGGACUGAGACACGGCCCAGACUCCUACGGGAGGCAGCAGUGGGGAAUAUUGGACAAUGGGCGAAAGCCUGAUCCAGCAAUGCCGCGUGAGUGAUGAAGGCCUUAGGGUUGUAAAGCUCUUUUACCCGGGAUGAUAAUGACAGUACCGGGAGAAUAAGCGCCGGCUAACUCCGUA
rnacentral:rRNA from 1 species